GGUUCGAUGGCGUAGUUGGUUAUCGCAUCUGUCUAACAGCGUAUCUCGCUUGCCACAGAAGGUCCCCAGUUCGAGCCUGGGUCGAAUCA